UUUUAGCUGAGUCUAAAGUUAGACCGCAUUUUAGUUGCCAUGGUGACGAUGUCUGCUUUUACUGCACAUGUGCAAUGCAAUAGCAGAAGCACGAGCAGACGACAACUUCAACAUGGCUGACAAAAAGAAACAGCGGAAAGGAAACUGGGACACCAGCGAGAAAGAAUUUCUCCUGAUGUUACUAGCCGACAAAAUCACAAUUAUCGAGAAAAAAAGGUGCAAUUUCUUGGCAACAGUUGAAAAGAACAAGGCAUGGGAUGCGAUUUAUUCGCAAUUCCAGUCACGGUUUGGCAGCCGCAGAGAUCUUCAUGACCUUCGUGAGCAAUGGAAGAGAAUGAAGUUGCAAGCGAUGGUAGAGUGGUCUUCUCACAAGAAGAGCGUGAGGCAAACGGGUGGAGGCCCACCGUCUCCCAACCCAUCAUCCAUGUGUAUGCUUAUCAGGGAUCUGAUCCCCCACGAUUUCUUACAAAUCAGAAAUCCAUUUGAUGAUGAUGCGGACACUCCACAGCAAAAUGAGGAGGCUGUGACAGUUUUGGAGUUCCUGGCUGGUGCCGGAGAGGCAAACGAAUAAAACCAACAAGUCUGAAGAACUUGAAGGGACACAAGAGUUUGACAUCCCAAACCCACCCGAGGAAGAUUUUCAACUGCUGGAACCAGCUCAUGUCGAAAACACCACAUCAGAACACAUCCCACAACCAAGUACCAAUUUUUCUUCCUUGAGUACACAUACACCUACAGUUCCUGCUGAAAGGACCCCUUUUCCAGCACCACCAACCAAAUCACUGGAGAUGACGUUGGGAGAAUAUGCCGAGAAAGAGCACCAUCUGAAAAUGGCCCAUCUUGAAGAAGAACAAAUUAUGCAAAAGCAAGUGCUUGAGCUAAAAAAACAAUACCAGAUGAAAAAGUUAGAGAUUUUGCUGACUAAAUUUCCAUAAUGAUAAUUACUGCAAGGACAAACUUUUUUUGAUUGUUGUAUUCAUAUUUGUUUUCCUUUUCUCAUAUUGAUACAUGCAUUGGUGCAACACAAUUAAACAUCACAGACAAAUUAUGAGUGAUGGGCCAUUCUCAGUAGGUGCUUUUUUUGCAUAUUCUCAACUGGUCAACUGGUUUCAGCAGCUGAACAUCUUCCUUGACUCAUGUGUACGUUCUGCUUCAUGUUCUUCAGACUUGUAGGAUAUUUUGCCAACAUCAGUAACUCCAUAACUGACACAGCAUCCUUUUUUUUGAGUGUUAAUAUGUCUGCAUCGUCAUCAAACACAAUUUUUCAUCUUUAAGAAAUUGUGGGCUACAAGAUGAGGGAAAGGGUGAUGAGUUGGGAGAAUGCCUCUUUUUACAUGCUUCUGAAAAACACACCACUCACCUUUUCUUGCAGCUUCAUCCUCUUCUUUGUUUAAACUCUUUAGGUUAGUCUCAGAAAAAGAAGUCUUGCAAGUUGUUCAGGAAUCCUCCACGACAUGGAGGAUUCCUGAACUCACUUGUUGAACAAAAAUCCUCAAAGAAUUGGUUCCUAUUAUAACAAUUAUGUUAUUUAUGACUCUUUUGAAAGUGGGUGUUUUCCUGACAAGUACUUGCCCAAGGGGAUCCUCAGGGAUCUGUGUUAGGCACGUUACUGUUUACUUUGUACACCUCCCCAUUAGAAAGUAUAAUUAACCCUCACAGUGUGUAUAAGAUGUUCUAUGCUGAUGAUACCCAAUUGUAUAUUGCAUUUAAACAGUCUGAUGCAGAUGUUGUAUGCCACAUUACUGAAUGUGCUAAAGCAAUCAAAGAGUGGCCCAGUGUUAGUCUCAAGGUCUCAAGUUGAAUAGUAAUAAGACUGAGUUUUUACAUAUAUCUUCUCGCUUUCGAUCUGUUGUUCCUGUUUCCACAAUUGAUUUGGAAGGUGUGCAAGAACAUCCAGUCAAAACAUUUCUGCACCUUGGAGUAACUUGAUGACAAGUUCACACUAGAAAGCUUUGUCAGACAAAACUGCAGAUCUGCAUCAUUUGCACUUCAUAAAAUUGGUAACAUCUGUCCUUUUGUCAAUAAGCACACAACAGAACGAUUAGUUCAUGCCUUUGUGAUGUGUCACAUAGAUUUUUGUAAUAUAUUAAAUUAUUAUAUUAUAUUAUAAAUAAAAGUGAUUUUUGCAAAAGGAAUGCAAACCUUGUAUAA